UACGGGAGGCAGCAGUGAGGAAUAUUGGUCAAUGGGCGAGAGCCUGAACCAGCCAAGUAGCGUGUAGGAUGACGGCCCUAUGGGUUGUAAACUGCUUUUGCCGGGGAAUAAAGUGCAGUACGUGUACUGUUUUGUAUGUACCCGGAGAAUAAGGACCGGCUAAUUCCGUGCCAGCAGCCGCGGUAAU
rnacentral:rRNA from 1 species